rnacentral:rRNA from 1 species
GCGAAAGCGAGUUUUAACUGAGCGUUCAGUUACUUGACGUAGACCCGAAACCGGGCGACCUACCCAUGAGCAGGAUGAAGCGAAAGUAAAAUUUCGUGGAGGUCCGAACCCACGAGCGUUGAAAAGCUCGGGGAUGACUUGUGGGUAGCGGUGAAAUUCCAAUCGAGCCCGGAGAUAGCUGGUUCGCCCCGAAAUAGCUUUAGGGCUAGCCUCAAGGUGAGAGAUACGGAGGUAGAGCACUG